AUGAACGCUGGCGGCGUGCUUAACACAUGCAAGUCGAACGGAAAGGCUCCUGCUUGCAGGGGUACUCGAGUGGCGAACGGGUGAGUAACACGUGGGUGAUCUGCCCUUCACUUCUGGAUAAGCCUGGGAAACUGGGUCUAAUACCGGAUAGGACGAUGGUUUGGAUGCCAUUGUGGAAAGUUUUUUCGGUGUGGGAUGAGCGCGCGGCCUAUCAGCUUGUUGGUGGGGUAAUGGCCUACCAAGGCGUCGACGGGUAGCCGGCCUGAGAGGGUGUACGGCCACAUUGGGACUGAGAUACGGCCCAGACUCCUACGGGAGGCAGCAGUGGGGAAUAUUGCACAAUGGGCGCAAGCCUGAUGCAGCGACGCCGCGUGGGGGAUGACGGCCUUCGGGUUGUAAACUCCUUUCGCUAGGGACGAAGCGCAAGUGACGGUACCUGGAGAAGAAGCACCGGCUAACUACGAG
rnacentral:rRNA from 1 species